rnacentral:lncRNA from 1 species
CUUCUCCUCCACCUCCUUAUGAGUACAAAUCUCCACCACCUCCAUCACCUUCUCCACCACCUCCUUAUGUGUAUAAGUCUCCACCACCUCCACCAAAGCAUGAGGAGAAGCCUUAUGAAUACAAGUCUCCACCACCACCACCGAAGGAGAAGCCUUAUGAAUACAAGUCUCCACCACCACCACCGAAAGAGAAGCCUUAUGAAUACAAGUCUCCACCACCUCCAUCACCUUCUCCACCACCUCCUUAUGUGUAUAAGUCUCCACCACCUCCACCAAAGCAUGAGGAGAAGCCUUAUGAAUACAAGUCUCCACCACCACCACCGAAGGAGAAGCCUUAUGAAUACAAGUCUCCACCACCACCACCGAAAGAGAAGCCUUAUGAAUACAAGUCUCCACCACCUCCAUCACCUUCUCCACCACCUCCUUAUGUGUAUAAGUCUCCUCCACCUCCACCAAAGCAUGAGGAGAAGCCUUAUGAAUACAAGUCUCCACCACCACCACCGAAGGAGAAGCCUUAUGAAUACAAGUCUCCACCACCUCCAUCUCCAUCACCACCUCCACCAUACUACUAUAAAUCUCCACCACCUCCAUCACCAUCACCACCACCUCCAUACUACUACAAGUCCCCACCACCACCACCAAAGCAUGAAGAACAACCACCAUAUUACUACAAGUCACCUCCUCCUCCAUCUCCAUCACCACCUCCUCCAUACUACUACAAGUCCCCACCACCUCCUUCACCAUCACCACCACCUCCAUACUACUACAAGUCUCCACCACCACCAAAACACGUAGAGCAACCCCCAUACUACUACAAGUCUCCUCCACCUCCAUCACCCUCACCACCACCACCUUACUACUAUAAAUCUCCACCACCACCUUCACCAUCUCCACCACCUCCUUACUACUACAAGUCCCCACCACCUCCAUCUCCAUCACCACCUCCUCCAUACUACUACAAAUCUCCACCACCACCACCAAAGCAUGAAGAACAACCCCCAUACUACUACAAGUCUCCACCACCACCUUCACCAUCUCCUCCACCACCUUACUACUACAAAUCUCCACCACCACCCCCACAUUACGUCUCACCACCAUACUACUACAAAUCUCCACCACCACCAGUGAAGUCUCCUCCCUACUACUACCAUUCUCCUCCACCACCAACUCCUUACUACCCCCACCCCCACCCACAUCCGCUCAUAGUCAGGGUGGUCGGAAAAGUUUACUGCUACAGAUGCUAUGACUCAAGCUACCCAGAGAAAUCACAUGGCAAGAAACAUCUCGAAGGUAAAUUAAUUCAUACAUUAAUGCAUUUAUUAAUUGAUUUAUUUUCAAUUUCGUAUGUUUUAUUUAUUUCUUAGUUUCAAAUUUUUGUGGAACUUUGUCAUGUGAUUUAGAGGUUAAAAUAAGAUGUUUAUGAAUAUUUUAAUUCAAAUAGACGUAAACAUAAUAAUUAAAGGAAUCUGAAGUUAUUCUUCUGGAAAUUUUUAAAAAAAUAUUUAAAAGAUUAUAAAAAUAAACAAAGCCUGUUUUUGUUUCUUAUAUGUUUGAAAAUAAAUUAUGACUGUAUUGUCUGUCUAUGUAAUAUUUUUAUAUAAUUUAAUAUUCAAUUCAUAAUAAUUUAAUGAUAAAAACUAUUGUUAUAAAUUACUCUAAAAUUAUAGCUUUCCUUAUUAAGGGCUGCACCAUAUAUGGAUGCACAAGUCAACAUAAGUAGUGAACACAUAAGUCAUGUCUAUGGAAAAACUGUUUUUUUUUAUUAAAUUAAUUCAUGGAAAGACAAAAUUAGUUAUAAAAUAGUUGAUGUCUAAAUAGAAAAAAGAUAUUUUGAUUGACUUUUUAGCAAAAAAGAAACUAAAUUUUCAAUUAUUGCACAUGGAGCAGGUGCUACUGUGGAAGUGACUUGCAAGGAGGGUGAAAAGGAAAUCACUGUCUAUGGAAAGACCAAAAACAACGGCAAAUUUGCUGUCACUGUUGAUGGGUUUGAUUAUGGCAAAUACGGAGCCAAGGCAUGCAUUGCCAAGCUUCAUGCCCCACCCAAGGAUUCAUCAUGCAACAUACCCAUGAGUGUACAUGAUGGCAUCAAGGGUGCUGUGCUCAAGGUCAAGUCAGAGGACAAGUAUGAGGUUGUGCUAAGAGCUAAGCCAUUUGGUUAUGGUUCAAAGAAACCUUACAAGAAGUGUGAAAAGUACACUCCUAAGCCUCCGACUCAUCCGUACAAGCCACCACCGUACUACUAUAAGUCUCCACCUCCACCGGCUCCCACUUACGUUUACAAGUCACCACCUCCACCAUCACCAACUUAUGUUUACAAGUCACCUCCACCUCCUGUGUACUACUACAAGUCUCCACCACCACCAAAGCAUGUGGAACAACCCCCAUACUACUAUAAGUCUCCACCUCCACCGGCUCCCACUUAUGUUUACAAGUCACCACCUCCACCAUCGCCGACUUAUGUUUACAAGUCACCUCCACCACCUGUGUACUACUACAAAUCACCACCUCCUCCCACUUAUGUCUACAAGUCUCCACCACCACCAAAGCAUGUAGAGCAGCCCCCGUACUACUACAAAUCUCCUCCACCACCAUCGCCAUCUCCUCCUCCACCAUACUAUUACAAGUCCCCACCACCACCAGUUCACUCUCCACCACCACCAUACUACUACAAGUCCCCACCACCACCAAAACAUGUGGAGCAACCUCCAUACUACUACAAAUCUCCUCCUCCACCAUCGCCAUCUCCUCCACCACCAUACUACUACAAAUCCCCACCACCACCAAAACAUGUAGAAGAGCCCCCAUACUACUACAAAUCUCCUCCACCACCAUCACCAUCUCCUCCUCCACNNNNNNNNNNNNNNNNNNNNNNNNNNNNNNNNNNNNNNNNNNNNNNNNNNNNNNNNNNNNNNNNNNNNNNNNNNNNNNNNNNNNNNNNNNNNNNNNNNNNGAGCAACCUCCAUACUACUACAAAUCUCCUCCUCCACCAUCGCCAUCUCCUCCACCACCAUACUACUACAAAUCCCCACCACCACCAAAACAUGUAGAAGAGCCCCCAUACUACUACAAAUCUCCUCCACCACCAUCACCAUCUCCUCCUCCACCAUACUACUACAAGUCCCCACCACCGCCAAAACAUGUGGAGCAACCUCCAUACUACUACAAAUCACCCCCACCACCAUCGCCAUCUCCUCCUCCACCAUACUACUACAAGUCCCCACCACCACCGAAGCAUGUAGAGGAGCCCCCAUACUACUACAAGUCUCCCCCACCACCAUCGCCAUCUCCUCCUCCACCAUACUAUUACAAAUCUCCUCCACCACCAUCACCAUCUCCUCCUCCACCAUACUACUACAAGUCCCCACCACCACCGAAACAUGUAGAGGAGCCCCCAUACAUCUACAAAUCUCCUCCACCACCAUCGCCAUCUCUUCCUCCACCAUACUACUACAAGUCCCCACCACCACCGAAGCAUGUAGAGGAGCCCCCAUACUACUACAAGUCUCCCCCACCACCAUCGCCAUCUCCUCCUCCACCAUACUAUUNNNNNNNNNNNNNNNNNNNNNNNNNNNNNNNNNNNNNNNNNNNNNNNNNNNNNNNNNNNNNNNNNNNNNNNNNNNNNNNNNNNNNNNNNNNNNNNNNNNNCGCCAUCUCCUCCUCCACCAUACUACUACAAGUCCCCACCACCACCGAAACAUGUAGAGGAGCCCCCAUACAUCUACAAAUCUCCUCCACCACCAUCGCCAUCUCCUCCACCACCAUACUAUUACAAGUCCCCACCACCACUAGUCCAUUCCCCACCACCACCAUACUACUACAAGUCUCCACCACCACCAGUCCACUCCCCACCCCCACCAUACUAUUACAAGUCUCCACCACCACCUUCUCCUUCACCACCUCCACCAUACUAUUACAAGUCCCCACCACCACCAAAACACGUAGAGGAGCCCCCAUACAUUUACAAAUCUCCUCCACCACCAUCACCAUCUCCUCCUCCACCAUAUUAUUACAAGUCCCCACCACCACCAGUCCACUCUCCACCACCACCAUACUAUUACAAAUCCCCUCCUCCGCCAUCGCCAUCUCCUCCUCCACCAUACUACUACAAAUCCCCACCACCACCAGUCCACUCUCCACCCCCACCAUACUACUACAAAUCCCCACCACCACCAGUUCACUCUCCACCCCCACCAUACUACUACAAAUCCCCACCACCACCAUCUCCUUCACCACCUCCACCAUACUACUACAAAUCACCCCCACCUCCAGUGAAGGCUCCAGCACCUACCUACCAUUACAACUCCCCUCCUCCACCAUCACCAUCUCCUCCUCCCCCAUACUACUACAAAUCUCCCCCACCACCAGUCCACUCUCCCCCACCACCAUACUACUACAAAUCUCCACCUCUUCCAUCUCCCUCACCACCUCCUCCAUACUACUACCACUCACCUCCCCCACCAGUGAAAUCACCUCCACCUCCAGUCUACAUCUACGCUUCUCCUCCACCACCAACACCCUACUAGAUCUAAAAAGAUCGACCACACACCGUUCAUGUAAGUAAUAUUUUAUUAAAUCAAUAGUUAAGUAUAAAUUAUCAU